CCUACGGGUGGCUGCAGUGGGGGAUAUUGCACAAUGGGGGGAACCCUGAUGCAGCGACGCCGCGUGGGUGAAGGAGCGUUUCGGCGCGUAAAGCCCUAUUGGCAGGGAAGAAGAUGUCAGUACCUGACCAAGAAGCCCCGGCCAACUACGUGCCAGCAGCCGCGGUAAUACGGAGGGGACAAGAGUUAUCCGGAUUUACUGGGUGUAAAGGGGGCGCAGACGGCAAUGCAAGCCAGGAGUGAAAGCCUGGGGCACAACCCCGGGACUGCUCUUGGCACUGCAUGGCUGGAGUACAGGAGGGGCAGGCGGAAGUCCUGGUGUAGCGGUGAAAUGCGUAGAUAUUAGGAGGAACACCGGUGGCGAAGGCGGCCUGCUGGACUGUGACUGACGUUGAGGCCCGAAGGCGUGGGGAGCAAACAGGAUUAGAUACCCUAGUAGUC
rnacentral:rRNA from 1 species